AGGAGCAGGCUUUGCACAAACUAUCUGGUUUCAAGUUGCGACUCUCCGGAGUCCCUGGGAAGGUGCCCCAGGGACAGGGCCCCCAGGAUUGAUGAGACUCCCCCAUCCCCAGCCGCCCAGAGGAUAAGCAGGUGGGAAAAUGAUGUCUUAACAAGAUUAUAGGACUGGCCAAGGCAUCCAGGAUCCCACUACCACUUCUGGAGCCAUUGCCACCUCAAGCCAGCUGUUAGAAGAGCCACUGGGCGCUAACCCUGGCCCCACUCGUUCCUUCGAGAACCUUGUCCAGGCCUGUGGUAGCAUUAUAACUCCAGUAAAGAAAGUGCCCAGAGGAAGUGGUCAUACACUUAGGAAGGGAGGAAGAAGUCCAUCUCUCAUGGGUUCCAUGACACCACGUCUCGGUAACGUAUCACAGAGCACGUGGCGUUUGCAAACCACAUACAUCCACUAACAGAGAAACCGAGUCCUGAACUAUUUCAAGCGCUUUAGAUGCUGAUCCAGACUUUAACGGUGAUCUAUGUUUUCUGACCAACCUGGCUGCGUACAGCACUGUUUCAGAUCCCAUCUCUUUGUUCGCUGAAUGGAAACUGUAACGAGGCACAAGUGAGAAUUUGAGGAUGAGCUGCUUUUCAGUCAUGCAGAAGGCCACCUGCCACCUGAAUCAAGGUGCCAUUGGAAGCCAGAAGAAGCCAUCAGUUCUACUGAGGCUGGAGCUACAGGUAGUCGUGAAUUGCCUGAUGUGGAUUCUAGGACGGAACUCCAGUUCUCCACAAAAGCAUCAAUUAUGUUUCUGCUUUGGAGCUUCUGGCAAGCUGUUGAAGGAGGUAUCUAUAACUACCGUGAUUCUGGACCCUACGAAGAGACGUUCAUGAUGCUUCACACAUUCCACAGUUCUUCACAGCCUGUGAACCGUCAUGCUACUAAAAGAAUGUCCACAUGAAUACUGUUGGGGGAAGUAACCACGUGAAGACUUUAGAAAAAGACCCCCUUGGGCCCAGUCCAGUCCCAGCUGGUCCAUUACCGGACAGCGAGCAAGAGCAAAGGACACAGUGUCUGAGGGUGGUGUCUGUCAGAGCACUACAGCCUCCAGCAAGAAGUGGGAGAGGUCCCGAGCUACCUGCUCUGCCAUGCCAGCUGGCAGGACCUGGGAGAGGUGGAAACAGCUUGGGGCUGCAGAGGAGCUGAGAGGUGCAGAGGAAAAUGGGGGUCACCAGGUGAACACCAGACUUGCUUUUUGUUCAGCUUUGGUAAGUUAAUUUUCUCCCCAGGGCCCUGUCCACCUCUUCUGCAGACCGCCUUACUGGAAUUCAUGAUCUUUGUGGACCCAAAUAGACAAUUAACUUAUUUUAAUGAGACUUUAGUGUCUCAUGAAUAUUAUUUGGCACUGCCUAAAUAAAUGCUUUUCCAA
rnacentral:lncRNA from 1 species